rnacentral:rRNA from 2 species
CGCUAAUAGCUUUAAGUGCCUAAUACAUGCAAGUCGAACGAACUCUGGUAUUGAUUGGUGCUUGCAUCAUGAUUUACAUUUGAGUGAGUGGCGAACUGGUGAGUAACACGUGGGAAACCUGCCCAGAAGCGGGGGAUAACACCUGGAAACAGAUGCUAAUACCGCAUAACAACUUGGACCGCAUGGUCCGAGUUUGAAAGAUGGCUUCGGCUAUCACUUUUGGAUGGUCCCGCGGCGUAUUAGCUAGAUGGUGGGGUAACGGCUCACCAUGGCAAUGAUACGUAGCCGACCUGAGAGGGUAAUCGGCCACAUUGGGACUGAGACACGGCCCAAACUCCUACGGGAGGCAGCAGUAGGGAAUCUUCCACAAUGGACGAAAGUCUGAUGGAGCAACGCCGCGUGAGUGAAGAAGGGUUUCGGCUCGUAAAACUCUGUUGUUAAAGAAGAACAUAUCUGAGAGUAACUGUUCAGGUAUUGACGGUAUUUAACCAGAAAGCCACGGCUAACUACGUGCCAGCAGCCGCGGUAAUACGUAGGUGGCAAGCGUUGUCCGGAUUUAUUGGGCGUAAAGCGAGCGCAGGCGGUUUUUUAAGUCUGAUGUGAAAGCCUUCGGCUCAACCGAAGAAGUGCAUCGGAAACUGGGAAACUUGAGUGCAGAAGAGGACAGUGGAACUCCAUGUGUAGCGGUGAAAUGCGUAGAUAUAUGGAAGAACACCAGUGGCGAAGGCGGCUGUCUGGUCUGUAACUGACGCUGAGGCUCGAAAGUAUGGGUAGCAAACAGGAUUAGAUACCCUGGUAGUCCAUACCGUAAACGAUGAAUGCUAAGUGUUGGAGGGUUUCCGCCCUUCAGUGCUGCAGCUAACGCAUUAAGCAUUCCGCCUGGGGAGUACGGCCCGCAAGGCUGAAACUCAAAGGAAUUGACUGGGGGCCCGCACAAGCGGUGGAGCAUGUUGGCU